rnacentral:rRNA from 1 species
CGCGUAGGUGGUUGUGUAAGUCAGCUGUGAAAUCCCGAGGCUCAACCUCGGAACUGCAUCUGAUACUGCAUGACUCGAGUGCAGCAGAGGGAAACGGAAUUCCUGGUGUAGAGGUGAAAUUCGUAGAUAUCAGGAGGAACACCGGUGGCGAAGGCGGUUUCCUGGGCUGACACUGACACUGAGGCGCGAAAGCGUGGGUAGCAAACAGGAUUAGAUACCCUGGUAGUCCACGCUGUAAACGGUGAAUACUGGGUGUGGGAGGUGUAAUGCCUUCUGUGCCGAAGCUAACGCGUUAAGUAUUCCGCCUGGGGAGUACGGCCGCAAGGUUGAA